CAGCUUAAUUUGACUGAACAUGAGAAAACUCACCUGAUCCAGGCACUGGUAGGACUGACAGAUCAAUAGCUCUUUGUUGAUUUGGUGGGCUUCUUUCAGUUUCCAUCAACAGAUCCACUCACAAGGCUUUGGUUGGCCUG
rnacentral:rRNA from 1 species